rnacentral:rRNA from 1 species
CCCUGGCUCAGAUUGAACGCUGGCGGCAGGCCUAACACAUGCAAGUCGAGCGGAUGAAGAGAGCUUGCUCUCUGAUUCAGCGGCGGACGGGUGAGUAAUGCCUAGGAAUCUGCCUGGUAGUGGGGGACAACGUUUCGAAAGGAACGCUAAUACCGCAUACGUCCUACGGGAGAAAGCAGGGGACCUUCGGGCCUUGCGCUAUCAGAUGAGCCUAGGUCGGAUUAGCUAGUUGGUGAGGUAAUGGCUCACCAAGGCGACGAUCCGUAACUGGUCUGAGAGGAUGAUCAGUCACACUGGAACUGAGACACGGUCCAGACUCCUACGGGAGGCAGCAGUGGGGAAUAUUGGACAAUGGGCGAAAGCCUGAUCCAGCCAUGCCGCGUGUGUGAAGAAGGUCUUCGGAUUGUAAAGCACUUUAAGUUGGGAGGAAGGGCAUUAACCUAAUACGUUAGUGUUUUGACGUUACCGACAGAAUAAGCACCGGCUAA